CUGGCACGGGAGGCGAGGAGCUGCGAGACUGCGAGGGAAGCCCCGGCCGGGUCACCUGAGGGCUGUGGCCGUGGGUCAGGCUCCGGCUCCCAGGCACUCACCGCCAGGUAAUGGCUUACAUCGGUGGUUUUCAAAGUUCAUCCUGCGUCCCAACCGCCGGGAGGCCGCGGAAACCACGCAGGCUGGACAACCCCACGAGAGCUUCAGGUGCAGCCGGCCCGGGGGAGGCUUGAAAAGCUGCCUUUCCGGCGAGCUGCCAGGGGACUGCCGGUCCCCAGACCUCAUUCCCAGAAGCACUGGCUUAUACCAAGGGUCAUUCUGCUGCCACCUCAUCCAGCAGCCACCACGUGAAAGCAUCUGAGGGUUUCUUUGUUUGACAGAUGUCUCCAACACCUGUCCCGAUUCCAUAGACCCAAAGCAUUGAAAAUCCUCCUGUGCGAUGUGCAAAAUCACUUAUUCUAUUGAGUGUCCGAGGGGAUGAAAGAUUUGGUGGCUUUGUCCCAGAUUGUGUCCAUAUAGAUAUAUAUUUAUAUGUUUGGUCAGAUCAAAGGCUAGACUAUGCUUUUCAAUAUAUGUGGAAGGAAAAUUGCCGGCCAGUUCCAGAAGAUGGGGUUUCACAGUAUUUCUGGAACUUCCACCUGUCUUCCUGGGGUUCUCUGGCGUUCUCUCCUUCUUCAUUGCACACAGACUCGCUUGGUCUUCAGGGAACUAAAUGGUUUCCUCGGGUUGUUUGUAAUCAGGAUUCGUGGCAUUGGAGGUUGAAAAGCCCGUGGGUUUGAAUUUCCCCAAGUGUAGUCACUAUGGAGGCACCCCAGAGGGCACUGGGCUAUUUUUACCCUGGUAUAGCAAACCUCUUGAUAUACUCGCUGGGCUUCUAGUGUGUUCCUUCUGUGUGCAUCAGGCAUCACCCAAGGCCCCAGAAUCCAGAGGUGAGCAAACAUUCCUUCCCCAAGAGGAGCAGCAGGCAUUGCAGAAAACUAACCAGACCUCAGUGUGGUCCUCAAAAGGGGAUGUUCAGGUCGCUCUGUGGCCUAGGACGCUCUGUGGCCCAGGGUAGGGGGUUGCGGGGCAGACUGAUGACUUUGUGCUGGAGGGGGGCAGAAACAGAGGGUCAGGAUUUCUAUUCACAGCGGUCUGCGACAGCUGAUCCAGAAGCUAGAAUCAGUUUAGGCCCUCGCCUCCUCUCUAGCUGCCCCUAUGGGUCAUUUGAAGGGUGCGGCCUUGUUAUAGAAGAAGACCGUUCAACUUAAGCAUAACCAUUCUUUCCCGCCUUUACAAUUUAUUGGUUUAAAUGAAGUUUUGAUGCUCCACUAAACUGUGAAGGUCCCCGGGGACUGUAUUUAUCCGGUAUGGCUCACCACUGCCUCGGCGUGAGUCAGUUUAUCCCAUCCCCUCCGACAGGCCGCGAGACAGCAACUCCACACCUCGACCUGGAACAGGAGAGAGUCCCAGGGGAGGGUAGGAGCCUCUCUCCACGGGCUCACGGGGAGGAGCAACCAGAGGCCUGGGUGGGUUGGGUCAGGGCUGCAAGAAAAAGGCCAAACCUCCACUGAACAGGCUUGCCUCCGUGGACACGGAAGGGCAUCCCAGGCCAGUCGAUCUUAGACGCCGAUAUGGUUUGAAAUCUUGUAAAGUCUCAGUGACCUAUGCCGUUGGCCAACUAUUCACUUGUCAGCCCGGGUGGCUCAGCGGUUCAGCGCCGUCUUCAGCCCACGGCGUGAUCCUGAAGACCCAG